rnacentral:rRNA from 1 species
AUUGAACGCUGGCGGCAGGCCUAACACAUGCAAGUCGAGCGGAUGAAGGCAGCUUGCUCCUGGAUUCAGCGGCGGACGGGGGAGUAAUGCCUAGGAAUCUGCCUGGUAGGGGGGGAUAACGUCCGGAAAAGGGCGCUAAUAACGCAUACGUCCUGAGGGAGAAAGUGGGGGGGCUUCGGACCGCACGCUAGGAGAGGAGCGUAGGUCGGAUUAGCUAGUUGGUGGGGUAAGGGCCUACCAAGGCGGCGAUCGGUAGAUGGUCUGAGAGGAUGAUCGGUCACACUGGAACUGAGCCACGGUCCAGACUACUACGGGAGGCACCAGUGGGCAACAGUGGACAACGGGCGCAAACAUGGCCCAGCCAUCCCGCGUGGGUGACGACGGCCUUGCGGUCGUAAUGCCCUCUUGUUGGGAAAGAACAGCAGCCGGUUAAGACCCAGCUGUUCUGACGGUACUCAAAGAAUAAGCACCGGCUAACUUCGUG